rnacentral:misc_RNA from 1 species
GAAAUGCGAUAAGUAGUGUGAAUUGCAGAAUUCAGUGAAUCAUCGAAUCUUUGAACGCACAUUGCGCCCUUUGGUAUUCCUUAGGGCAUGCCUGUUCGAGCGUCAUCUAAACCUUCAAGCCCUGCUAGGUGUUGGGUGCCUGUCCCGCCUCCGCGCGCGGACUCACCUCAAAUCCAUUGGCGGCCCCCGCGUCGGCCACGAGCGCAGCAGAAACGCGAACUCGUGAGCCCGUCCGGGCGGCUCCCAGAAGCUACACCCACCCAGUUUGACCUCGGAUCAGGUAGGGAUACCCGCUGAACUUAAGC